UUUAGUGCAGUCGUUUCGUUCGGUCGUUCUAACGGUAGUAUCGGAACAACGGUAGCUUUGGCCUAGUGUAAGGACAAUUCACCAAUUCCCACACAUAUAAACUCACUCAAACACACAAAUACAUAUACCAACACACUCACAUACAUAUACGCGCGUUGUGCUGUGUGUGCUUUAGGUGCGGCAACGAGUCGAAAGUAAAAGUUGUUCAAUGUGCAUUAUAACGCUGCUGUCACCGAAUAAAAACAAAGACAAAGGACGAAUAGGAGGAAAAGGACAAACGCAAUCAGAGAACAAGGAACACGCUGUGCCCAACACGGGCAGCGGCAGUUAUAGCCGCUAAUGAAGAUGAAGUGAUAUCCAGUGAUAUCGUGUUAAACUGAAAUUAAAUAGAAUAUAAAUCGCUGGAAAAAUGACGGCGAUUUCUCAGCACCAGCCGAGCAGAACAAAUGCAAAGUAGUUUGCUUCUGGCAGGACGUGGAGGCUAGGAGGCUCGGCAGUUUCAGCAUCCUUGUAGCCGAGCAAUUUGUAAGCUGGCUCGCCAAUUUCACGCAUCAAGCGGCGGAAUGGCAGGCGCUAAUAAGGCGACCAGCCACGCCCCAAUGUUGUGCACCAGCAACGUCAAAAAAA